rnacentral:rRNA from 1 species
GGAUGCGAUCAUACCAGCACUAAAGCACCGGAUCCCAUCAGAACUCCGAAGUUAAGCGUGCUUGGGCGAGAGUAGUACUGCGAUGGGUGACCUCCUGGGAAGUCCUCGUGUUGCAUUCC